rnacentral:rRNA from 1 species
GGUUAAUCCCGCAACGAGCGCAACCCUUGCCAUUAAUUGCCAUCAUUUAGUUGGGCACUUUAAUGGGACUGCCGGUGACAAACCGGAGGAAGGUGGGGAUGACGUCAAGUCCUCAUGGCCCUUAUGGCCAGGGCUUCACACGUAAUACAAUGGUCGGUACAGAGGGCUGCUAACCCGCGAGGGGGUGCCAAUCUCAGAAAACCGAUCGUAGUCCGGAUUGUUGUCUGCAACUCGACAGCAUGAAGUCGGAAUCGCUAGUAAUCGCGGAUCAGAAUGUCGCGGUGAAUACGUUCCCGGGCCUUGUACACAC